rnacentral:rRNA from 1 species
GACGAACGCUGGCGGCGUGCCUAAUACAUGCAAGUCGAACGCAGUGGGGACGGGUGAGUAACACGUGGGUAACCUCCCAUCAGAGGGGAUAACACUUGGAAACAGGUGCUAAACCGAUACUGAUGGAUGGACCCGCGGUGCAUUAGCUAGUUGGUGAGGUAACGGCUCACCAAGGCCACGAUGCAUAGCCGAACUGAGGGGGUGAUCGGCCACACCUGGACUGGGACACGGCCCCGACUCCCACGGGCGGCAGCCGUAGGGAAUCUUCGGCAAUGGACGAAAGGCUUACCGAGCCACCCCGCGUGAGUGAAGAAGGUUUUCGGAUCGUAAAACCCUGUUGUUUGGGAAGCGGUAUCUAACCAGAAAGCCACGGCUAACUACGUGCCAGCAGCCGCGGUAAUUC